rnacentral:rRNA from 1 species
UACGUAGGGGGCAAGCGUUGUCCGGAAUUAUUGGGCGUAAAGCGCGCGCAGGCGGCGGUUUAAGUCUGAUGUAUAAGCCCGAGGCUCAACCUCGGUACGCAUCGGAAACUGGACGGCUUGAGUGCAGGAGAGGGGAGUGGAAUUCCACGUGUAGCGGUGAAAUGCGUAGAGAUGUGGAGGAACACCAGUGGCGAAGGCGACUCUCUGGCCUGUAACUGACGCUGAGGCGCGAAAGCGUGGGGAGCAAACAGG